rnacentral:tRNA from 1 species
GGGGAAGUGGCGGAACUGGCAGACGCGCACGUUUGAGGGGCGUGUGAGGCAACUCAUGAGGGUUCGAGUCCCUCCUUCCCCA